rnacentral:tRNA from 1 species
GCUCUUCCACACUGGCGUAAUGGUAGAGCGCGCGGUUGGCACUCACGAGGUCGUGGGAUCGAUUCCCACGUAAGGUG